rnacentral:snRNA from 1 species
GGAUGUGAGGGCGAUCUGGCUGCGACAUCUGUCACCCCAUUGAUCGCCAGGGUUGAUUCGGCUGAUCUGGCUGGCUAGGCGGGUGUCCCCCUCCUCCCUCACCAAUCCAUGUGCGUCCCUCCCGAAGCUGCCCGCUCGGCUCGGUCUCGGUCGAAGAGGACGACCUUCCCCGCCCCCCCCUCCCCCCCAGGAGAGGACCGGUCUUUGGUCAAGGGUAUACGAGUAGCUGCGCUCCCCUGCUAGAACCUCCAAACAAGCUCUCAAGGUCCAUAAAUGGAAAAUCAAAACUCUUCAGGCACAUG